ACGUAGGGGGCAAGCGUUAUCCGGAAUUAUUGGGCGUAAAGAGUGCGUAGGUGGUUUUUUAAGCGUGAGGUGAAAGGCAAUAGCUUAACUAUUGAAAGCCUUGCGAACUGGAAGACUUGAGUGCAGGAGAGGAAAGUUGGAUUCCUAGUGUUACGGUGAAAUGCGUAGAUAUUAAGAGGAACACCUGAGGCGGAGGCAACUUACUGGACUAGAACUGACACUGAGGCACGAGAGCGUGGGGAGCAAACAG
rnacentral:rRNA from 1 species